UACGGGGGGGGCAAGCGUUGUUCGGAAUUACUGGGCGUAAAGGGUUCGUAGGUGGCCAACUAAGUCAGACGUGAAAUCCCUCAGCUUAACUGGGGAACUGCGUCUGAUACUGGUUGGCUUGAGUGCAGGAGAGGAACGCGGAAUUCCAGGUGUAGCGGUGAGAUGCGUAGAUAUCUGGAGGAAUACCGGUGGCGAAGGCGGCAUCCUGGACCGGCAUUGACGCUGAGGAGCGAAAGCCAGGGGAGCAAACGGG
rnacentral:rRNA from 1 species